CCUACGGGAGGCAGCAGUGAGGAAUAUUGGUCAAUGGACGAGAGUCUGAACCAACCAAGUAGCGUGAAGGAUGACUGCCCUAUGGGUUGUAAACUUCUUUUAUAUGGGAAUAAAACGUUCCACGUGUGGGAUUUUGUAUGUACCAUAUGAAUAAGGAUCGGCUAACUCCGUGCCAGCAGCCACGGUAAUACGGAGGGUCCGAGCGUUAUCCGGAUUUAUUGGGUUUAAAGGGAGCGUAGGUGGAUUGUUAAGUCAGUUGUGAAAGUUUGCGGCUCAACCGUAAAAUUGCAGUUGAAACUGGCAGUCUUGAGUACAGUAGAGGUGGGCGGAAUUCGGGGUGUAGCGGUGAAAUGCUUAGAUAUCACGAAGAACUCCGAUUGCGAAGGCAGUUCACUGGACUGCAACUGACACUGAGGCUCGAAAGUGUGGGUAUCAAACAGGAUUAGAUACCCUUGUAGUC
rnacentral:rRNA from 1 species